AAAUAGCUCGUUUGGGAGAAUGUUAGACUGAAGAUCUAAAGGUCAAUGGUUUGAUCCCGGGUUUCAGUA